AUUGAACGCUGGCGGCAGGCCUAACACAUGCAAGUCGAGCGAGCGGCGGACGGGUGAGUAAUGUCUGGGAAACUGCCUGAUGGAGGGGGAUAACUACUGGAAACGGUAGCUAAUACCGCAUACCAUCAGAUGUGCCCAGAUGGGAUUAGCUAGUAGGUGGGGUAACGGCUCACCUAGGCGACGAUCCCUAGCUGGUCUGAGAGGAUGAACGGCCACAUUGGGACUGAGACACGGCCCAGACUCCUACGGGAGGCAGCAGUGGGGAAUCUUCCGCAAUGGACGAAAGUCUGACGGAGCAACGCCGCGUGAGUGAAGAAGGCCUUCGGGUUGUAAAGUUCUUUCGGUAGCGAGGCGUUAACUACAGAAGAAGCACCGGCUAACUCCGUGCCAGCAGCCGCGGUAAUAC
rnacentral:rRNA from 1 species